AUAACAAGUUUAUUAGUCCAAAUGGAUUAAUAAAUAAGUUCUCCUUCAUAUCCCCACAUGUAUCACGGGAGGAUAAUAUAGGAAAUGUUGUAGCAAAAAUACUCUUGAAAGAUGAGGAGUACUUCAAGGAUAAGAUGAUUCUUGCACCUUGCAAUCUAGGGAAACAUUGGGUGUUACUUGUCAUCAAUCUCGAUGCUGAGGUGAUAUAUUACAUGGACCCGUUGAAUGGUGAGCCAACAAAACAUCAAAAUUUAAAAACCAAGUUUGAGAAUGCGUUGCAAAUUUAUCGUGCUAAUAGUAAUUCUAAAGUGCCUAAAGUCUCCAAGUCAAAGAAAAUUUCAUGGUCAAAAAUUCGGGUAUGUCC